rnacentral:rRNA from 1 species
UACUAAGUGCUUAAGGGCGCAUGGUGAAUGCCUUGGCACUAGAAGCCGAUGAAGGACGUGGGAGGCU